rnacentral:lncRNA from 1 species
AUCGUUUUCCAGUUCUAAUCGCAUGGCCGCCAGAGCCGACGGCGACAUUGCGGACAUGGUUAUUGUUCUGGCAUAAAGCGCCUCUCUUUGUCGGUAUUAAUUCUUUGGUCGAGAAGCUAACAGUCGCAUUGUUGCUGAUAAAAAGGAAAGAAAAAUCUACACAAAACAAAUAUUGCUGUGGAGACUCGAUGAAAGACGUGUAAAAAUAAGAUUUAUGAACGAGCUGGCUUUUCAAUGAAUGUUCGGGGGGUUCUCUUUGGUGGUCGAGGCCCCAAAGCGCUUGAUAUAGUAGUAUGCUUGUUAUAGGGAGCCCAGCACACUUAUUCUCCAACGAUAGGGUACUUGCACGGGCUAAAAGACGGUGUGCAUACUCGUAGUCUCUUCGUAGUACUUGGGUCUCCCGCUCGCUGCUCGCUUCCCUUCUACACUGUACCAUGCCGCCACCAUCACUAUUUUACUGUUUCGCGACUCCGAAUACAUAUCACAAUCACUGCAGCGCAUGCACGAUAUAAAGUUAAAUGAGAUGAUUGUCAAUUGAAUAGUCGCUCGUUGACACUACUUGACACCACAAGCAAACAGCUCAUGAGUUUUGACGUUGGUGGAGCCAACAACCAAGUUCGCAGUUUCAGAAAAUCAUUCAAGUGGAGAUUUAAUGUCUGGCGCACAAAGCAUUGACCGUGGCAAGAUAGCAACACGUACGUACUUUGAAAAGACAGAUUCUUGAGACUACAAGAUUGAGUUGGCUCUACUACGUACAUGUAACUACAUAUGUAUCAUGUAUGAGGAUGGGCAUCGCCAACAACAACAUGUCCUCAUGAUCAUCAGGUGACUGCAUAAGGUAUCUAGAUACAAGUGGGUACUAUAUCAGUCGCCUUCGACGAGCGGUGUAGUCGCUCCGGUCGUACAAGCAGUCACCCCGCGAAUUCGUGCCGAUGCAAGCCAUGCGCUCGCUCGCUCGAUCUGGUGUUGUACAGAUGCAUGUCGGCCUUGCGAUGGAUCAUGCAGAUUUUUGUUUUGCUCGAUUUGGACAGUCGACAGAUUUAGUUUCGUGCCAGCUCAGAUUUUCUAUCUAGUCGAACGACAUUGGCGGUUACCCAAUCCCCUUGUGGGGAGACAGCUUGCGAAAUGACAACACCUGAAUCACCUAGUUCCAUCCUUCAUCAAUACAUUCUCUCUGAUUUAUAACCACCACAUGAGUAAUUGGUGACAUAACGUGAAACAAGACUCGUCAGCGUUUCAUACACGGUCUCGUCUGUCGUGGCACGUAUAAGUAGGAGCUCCCAUAGCAUGUCACGUCCGUCAAACCCCGUCAAACAAAACAUGAAACAGAAAACACCAUCAUUGUCAUCAUGAGGUAUGGAUUUGUUUGAAACCAUCAAAAUGGAGUUGGGAAUAUUUUUUUUUUUUGAGGGCACAAGUCAGGCAUCAUGGACUAAGAAUCUAUACAACGCAUACACACUACAAAGUACAAGCUGUUGAGAUACGAAGCACGAUAUGAACUCUGAAUCCCUGGGAAACAAUACGUAGUUCAAUGCUGGCCUGGCCAUCUUGUAUUCCGUCUCUGCCUCAGGCGUGAAACGAUUUAGCCCUAACCCUAGUACUGUAGCUCAAUGUUGGUUUGUUGGCCCGGAAAUAAGGCAUGAUGAUCUCUUUGCUUUUCCUAUGAUGAAACCGUGUAACUUCAUACCAGGACAGUCAACUGGCUAUCGAUGCUUACUUACAACCCGAAGAGUGUGUAUCUAUAGAUGAAUGAACGUAACGGCCAAACAUACUCAAAAUAGACAAACUAGAACUAGCGGUGAAAUCCCAAAAUAUCUCCCCUGUCCUACGUACCGGGUAAUCGUGCCACGUGGAAAAUCGUCGUCUGGUACAGAGUGCGUGCUACAUAACAUGAGCCGUCAACUCUAUGGAGAACGUCUCCAGCUGCUCUACGGGAGUAGUAACCUGCUCAAUUCCCUCUUUGGAGAUGGAUGGACGACUACGUAUGGUGAUCCUGAAUCAUGGACAAAGUAAAGUAUAUUAGGUUGAUCCAACGUGGAAGAUUCCCUCAAUCUAGGGUAUCCUUUUCAAAUCCUUCGGGGCUAUAAGCACUUCGUUAAAUCCUUAGUUCCUGACCUGGCAUUGUACCUUCAAUACACGGCGUUCUCCGGAGACCAAGGUCAAUCAAUAUCUGUUAUCAUUUCUUUGCUUUUUCUUCCUGAUUCGUUCAACUGGACCGCAUAUCAAAAAUCAUAGUUGCUAUCUCAAUCACAAUCGGAGAGUUAGUCGAUCUCUUUAUUAUGAUAGACAUGCUUAUACACCCGUUUCAUACCUAGUCGAUUUAGUACGAACCUUUUUCUACAAGACUAUCCUACAUAAAUGGGAAAAGGAAAUAAAAGGAGAAAGGAAGUAAUUAAUUCUCCGACCUCCGUCCCGUUCCCGAUACGAAGGAUAUGCCGUUCAUUCUCGAAGUUCGUGAUCCAUGGCCAAACUCAAUUCGAGUGCAACUUGUCCUGAUUUAUACUAGAUUGAUCUUCUCCAGUACUUGAAUAGCCAUAUGUAGUAAAAUGCCGAAAAUAUUUUUUCAAUUGCGUCUUUCUGAUUUAUCGACCACUUACGUAGUUGGCUUCAGCCUUUGGGUGCUAAGUUAGUAGUUAACUAGUCAGCAUCGAAUGUACGUAGUAGUUAGUUACUCAUAUACUCGUUUUGGAAUAUGGAUCUGAGAAUUCGCUUACUGGUCAUUUAACAACUAAAUAGUAUGUAGACACUAGACUUGGCAGUCGGACGUUGGUACAUAGUACAUACGUAGUGGAUGGGCCAACAAAAGUCAAGACCUGGGUAAGCUGAAUUGAAGAUAUUGACCCCAUUUGGAUGGAUCAAUGAAGGAGUUUGGGGUCGUCAGAUGGAUUGUUGGAUGACAUGUCGGUAUGCGUACUCUUGUAUAUACUCUGUAUAACUAUGGUUAUAAUAAUGCUUGUUAUAUGUAGUAUAUUUUGCGGGAGUUGGUGACUAUCUGACCAUCAUCGAGCCCAGUCUUUCUUCGAUCAAGAUCUCAAAGCCAUUAAAGGGAGGAGGCUACUGCAAAACAUUGUUUGAUGUGAAGUGAGUGCACGUGACCUGAAAGAGCAAGCCGGCGUGUUUCAGGUUGGGUCCACUGCUCCACUUGAC